CGAGCUAGUUGGUGAGGUAAAGGCUUACCAAGGCGACGAUCUGUAGCGGGUCUGAGAGGAUGAUCCGCCACACUGGAACUGAGACACGGUCCAGACUCCUACGGGAGGCAGCAGUGGGGAAUUCUGGACAAUGGGGGCAACCCUGAUCCAGCCAUGCCGCGUGAGUGAAGAAGGCCUUCGGGUUGUAAAGCUCUUUCGGCCGGGAAGAAAUCGCAUGGGCCAAUACCCUGUGUGGAUGACGGUACCGGAAUAAGAAGCACCGGCUAACUACGUGCCAGCAGCCGCGGUAAUACGUAGGGUGCGAGCGUUAAUCGGAAUUACUGGGCGUAAAGCGUGCGCAGGCGGUUUUGUAAGACAGGCGUGAAAUCCCCGGGCUUAACCUGGGAACUGCGUUUGUGACUGCAAGGCUAGAGUACGGCAGAGGGGGGUGGAAUUCCACGUGUAGCAGUGAAAUGCGUAGAGAUGUGGAGGAACACCAAUGGCGAAGGCAGCCCCCUGGGUCGAUACUGACGCUCAUGCACGAAAGCGUGGGUAGCAAACAGGAUUAGAUACCCUGGUAGUCCACGCCCUAAACUAUGUCAACUAGGUGUUGGGUGGGUAAAACCAUUUAGUACCGUAGCUAACGCGUGAAGUUGACCGCCUGGGGAGUACGGCCGCAAGGUUAAAACUCAAAGGAAUUGACGGGGACCCGCACAAGCGGUGGAUGAUGUGGAUUAAUUCGAUGCAACGCGAAAAACCUUACCUACCCUUGACAUGCCAGGAACUUGCCAGAGAUGGCUUGGUGCCCGAAAGGGAGCCUGGACACAGGUGCUGCAUGGCUGUCGUCAGCUCGUGUCGUGAGAUGUUGGGUUAAGUCCCGCAACGAGCGCAACCCUUGUCGUUAAUUGCCAUCAUUUAGUUGGGCACUUUAGCGAGACUGCCGGUGACAAACCGGAGGAAGGUGGGGAUGACGUCAAGUCCUCAUGGCCCUUAUGGGUAGGGCUUCACACGUCAUACAAUGGUCGGUACAAAGGGUUGCCAAGCCGCGAGGCGGAGCCAAUCCCAGAAAGCCGAUCGUAGUCCGGAUUGCAGGCUGCAACUCGCCUGCAUGAAGUCGGAAUCGCUAGUAAUCGUGGAUCAGCAUGUCACGGUGAAUACGUUCCCGGGUCUUGUACACACCGCCCGUCACACCAUGGGAGCGGGUUCCGCCAGAAGUAGGUAGCCUAACCGCAAGGGGGGCGCUUACCACGGCGGGGUUCGUGACUGGGGUGAAGUCGAAACAAGGUAGCCGUAGGGGAACCUGCGGCUG
rnacentral:rRNA from 1 species